CCAAAGCUGACGAGUUCCAAACAGGACGAAACGCGCGUACUAG
rnacentral:hammerhead_ribozyme from 1 species